rnacentral:rRNA from 1 species
UGGGGAAUAUUGGACAAUGGGCGGAAGCCUGAUCCAGCAACGCCGCGUGAGGGAUGACGGCCUUCGGGUUGUAAACCUCUUUCAGUACCGACGAAGCGGAAGUGACGGUAGGUACAGAAGAAGCACCGGCCAACUACGUGCCAGCAGCCGCGGUAAUACGUAGGGUGCGAGCGUUGUCCGGAAUUAUUGGGCGUAAAGGGCUCGUAGGCGGUUUGUCGCGUCGGGAGUGAAAACACUGGGCUUAACUCAGUGCUUGCUUCCGAUACGGGCAGACUAGAGGCAUGCAGGGGAGAACGGAAUUCCUGGUGUAGCGGUGAAAUGCGCAGAUAUCAGGAGGAACACCGGUGGCGAAGGCGGUUCUCUGGGCAUGUCCUGACGCUGAGGAGCGAAAGUGUGGGGAGCGAACAGGAUUAGAUACCCUGGUA